rnacentral:lncRNA from 1 species
AUGAUGUCAGAAAAGAAGUACAGCCUUGGAAGCCCUACAACAACCUCACUGGAUAUCCUGGAAGAACAUUUCCAGUCCAUGCAGGAAGAGGGAAAAACUAUUUGGAGACACUGUUGUUUAAAGACAUGGUACGUAGCACCCCUGAGAAAAAGUGAGCAUUUUCCAAUGACAGAAAAAUUCUAG